UUUAUUACUUUGACUUUUUUACUAAGUUAUUCUAAAAGAUAAGAGCUAACCGACCAUCCUGAUUGAAUGUUUGAGUACUCGGAGUCUCUCGUAAGUAUGGAAAGAAAGUCUCUUCUUUCCACAACUCCUAAAUUUCCCAUCAUCCUAUCCAAUCUAAUUCUAGACAGACUCAGUAGACCUUACUUUAGUGUAGGUAGUGUCAGAUAAUUAGGAAGUCUUGAUAGUCUUUCGUAU
rnacentral:lncRNA from 1 species